UUUUGAACUACUAAUUAGUUCAGGUAUCAUGUCAUAGAAUUCAGAACUGGACACAAUAAUCAUAUACUCUAUGGCGUACCUGAGGCUGGCCUUAGGUCGGUGGUUUCAUGCCAUGCUUGGAGUUUAGUGACUGAUGAAGUUGGUUAGCAUUCCGCUUGCUGGAUCUUUCUUAGAGCUCAGGAUAUGAAUGGCAGGAGAGUGCAGUUGACCUGUCCAGAAGUGUGCAUAUUCACUGUGAAUAGUUUUGUGACUGCAAUGGAGUACCAUUUAAGGCAAUAUAUAUCCCAGUAUCUUUACAAUAUUGUUAGGAAAAAAAUGAGACUGUUGCCAAGGUACUAAGCACAAGCACAAUACCUUUAAACGUUUCGUUUAGGCGUGAUGUGGUAGGAGAUAAACUAAGGCUCUGGCUAGAUUUGGUUGAAAGGGUUGUAACAGUUCAGUUGAGCGAACAGGAGGAUAUCUUUUGUUGGAAUUUGAAUAAAAACAGAACUUUUACAGUGAGCUCUUUGUAUACAGACCUAAUGCGAAGUGAAGGCGUACCAUCAAAGUGUAUAGCUUGGAAAUUAAAGUUCCUCUUAAGAUUAAAGUAUGUGUUUUUAUGGUAUUUAAAAAAGGAAGUCUAAAAGAAAAUGAUAGGGGUGUACUAAAUGUUGUUUCUGUGACUUUGAAGAGACUAUCCAACAUUUAUUUUUUGAGUGUCAUCUGGCACGUUCCUGUUGGAAUACCGUGUACAUCUCACUUGGCAUUCAACCACCACAGAUCUUUUUGAUUCUUGGCCUAAAAGAUUUCGGGGGUGUUUGGAUCUUUAGUCCUGACUAAAAUUCAUGUCACAUUGAAUAUUCGGAGGCUAAUUAGAAGGACUAAACAUGAGCUAAUUAUAAAACUAAUUACACAGAUGGAGGCUAAUUCGCGAGACGAAUCUAUUAAGCCUAAUUAAUCCAUCAUUAGCACAUGUUUACUGUAGCGUCACUUUGUCAAAUCAUGGAAUAAUUAGGCUUAAUAGAUUCGUCUCACAAAUUAGUCUCCAUCUGUGCAAUUGGUUUUGUAAUUAGCCUAUAUUUAAUACUCCUAAUUAGUAUAUAAACAUUCGAUGUGACAGGAAUUUUAGGAGGUGCUAAAGAAACAAACAACCCCUUCCUUUGAAGCUUAGAAAUCAUGGCCUGUUCGCUUCAGCUUAUAAGCCGGCUGAAAAGCUGAAACGGCUGAUUUGUUGUGAGAGGAAAACACUGUUUGGUGGCUGAUAAGCCGGCUGAAUAAGCUGAAGCGAACAUGCCGCAUGCUUUAAUUGGUGCGGCAGCCUUUGUUUGGGCUAUUUGGUUGGAUAGAAAUGAUGUGAUAUUCAAGAGAACAAAUCCUAAUUCUCUGUUGCAGGUUAUCUUUAGGGGGACAUACUGGAUUAGGUGUAGGUCACUACUCUCUAAAGAGGAAGAGAGGUUAAAUUUGAAGAAGGGAUGCCUCAUAUUGAAGGUCGUUGUCAUGGAACUCUUCAAUAGUUUCGGAUGCAGGUUCAAGAACAGAAUCAAGGCUUAGAGUCUUUUCUUAUUCUAUCUGUCAUUUUCAUAGUCAUGUAAGCUUCCUUUUGGAAGCAUGCCCUAAGUACUGCAUUUUAUUAUGUUCCCUAUCUGCUGUAGGCACUCACUUGUGAGUGUUGAGGCUGGAAUAUUUUUCAAUCUAAAAAUCCAAGUAUACGUACAUUGUAUAUGUACAGUAUACGUACAUUGUAUAUGUACAUUGUGAUGUUGACGCAAGCUGCACCCAAAUUGAUUGAUUUCGAGCUCAUUACAAUUGUUUUAUUUUUUUGGAACACGUAGGUGUAAAACUCCUGUCACGUGAAAGUGUUCGUUUGCGUGAUUCAAGCAUGGUAUAAAAUUCCCUAUGUUUUCCUGUAAUAUUUCCUAUGUUUUAAAAUGUAUGGUGUUUAACAAACUAGUCCAUUUUGAACUGCUAAUUAGUUCAGGCAUCAUGAUAGAAUUCAGAAAUUUAAUUUUGUCCUAAAAAUAAUGCACUUUUUAGAUUUUGAAACAGCUAAAGUAGUAAUUGCAUAUGCACAUUUAAUGGUAUAAAAUCAAAGAAAUCCUUUCAAUGGUUCAAAAGCAAAAAGAAAAAGACGUCAACCUCCCGAUACAGCCCAAUUAAACAAAAGGCCUAAGCACAAAAUCGUUACAGCCCACCAACUAAAGAUACCGAACACUUUACCAAACCAGGCCCAAUCAAACUGACUUCGCAUGUGGGUUUUACAUUGUGAUGUGUUCUUUAUGGAAUGCUGGUUAUGGAAUGCUGCUUCUUCGGAUGUAAAGGUACCCUCCUCCUUGGCCCCAG
rnacentral:lncRNA from 1 species